ensembl:lncRNA
CUCGCCGGCUCGGCUUGGCUCGCGCCUUCGGCCCCGGGCUCGAGGCGCGGGGUCUGCGCGCGGCGGGGGCUGCGGAGGAGCCGGAGCACCGGGCGGUGCGGGGACGUGCGGCGGCGGCGAGACCGAGCCGCGCCGCGUGCGAGGCAAAGCUGUCCUUAUACUGACACCAAAUGUCUUCGGGGAAAGCUGCAGGCGCGGGACGCUGGAGGGGGGAGGCGUGGAGGCGACAGACAGACUGACGGCGGCGGCUGAGUUACCAUCUGCGUUUCGCAAAAGAGGAAAGUGAGGCUCAAAGGAGAGAAAGUGACUUGCCCAAGGCCACAUGGCAGAUGAGGAAACUGAGGCACAGGCAGAUCCACUGGGGACAGAAAGAUCAUCCUGCCUCCACUUUUUAGACAUCCAUAUCCCCCUUGCAAGGAAGAACAGCAUAAAGUCAAAUGGCUUCAGGAUUAGUGUAAGGGAACCUUCAGCCUGAAGAAUUGAGCCUGCACAAGACUUGAAGGUCCCUCCCGCGCCGUCUUUUGGCUCCUUGUCCAGAGUCAGAGCAGAGGUUAGAACUCGGUGGGGCUAGAGACGUGUUGACCCCAUACAGGGAGGGGUUCAAGACAUGGCUUCAUUAGGCAUCCCGGAAAUGCAUCUGGAGUGCAGACCCCAUUCCCUGAUGUCCUGUAUAUUAAUUCACUGGAUCCCCAGGACGACCCUGCAAGAGAGGCCUAUGACAUUAUCCCUGUUUCGAAGAUGGAGAAACUGAGGCCAAGAAGGGGAAAUGACUUCCACAAGGUUACGCAGCUCCCUUCCCCUGAAGACCCAGCGUUGGGGCAGGAGACCCCCAAGCUGUGGGUGAGAUGCCCAGAGCUCUGAGAGGGGGAGGAGGGGAGCUUCCAGGCAGGCCCCAGCUUGGUCUGGGAGGAUCAGGAGAUGCAGACAGGCUCCCCCUCCCCACCCCCAGACUCCAGUUGCCUUGACAACAGGGCCUCUAUUCCAGGCAUUUGUUGGAAAUUUGCAUUUUAAUGGAGAUGUAAUUAGAAUUAAAAAGCUGAGGUUGGAAGGGACAGAACCCUCCCCCGCCCCCUGGGAGCCAGAAGCCCCCUCCCCUCCCAGAGCCCUCCUGUGACACUUUCUCUACCACCAAACUCCUAGUGUCUGUCCCCACUGCCAAGAUGGGGACUCUGAGGCCCUGAGCAAAGAAGGGACUCGUUCAAGGUCUCACAGUGAGGCCAGUGCCCAGAGUCUGGGCUCCAUCCACUCUGCCUAAGGACCCCCUAAGCCCUUCCUACCAGGAGGUCUCCGUACAGGGUGGCAGUGGGGAGGGGCGUUGGCUUGCUGAGGGCGCCCAAGUCCUCCCCGAGUCUUCCAAGCUCCCCUCUUUCUCCCUGUAACCUCUGGACAUCUCAGUGGCCUUGGGGGCCUGGCGGAGCCGGGGGACCCCUCCCGUCCUGCCCCAGAGGGAACUGAGGCCCUAGAAGGAAGGGAUGUGCACACAGCGACUCAGUGGCAGAGCUGGGUCUUUGGCUGGUCAGGGUUGAGUCAUUAAAAGGACUCCACCUUUGACGCCCACCCAGAGUCAUCGUCCGACCCCAGAUCCCCAGGAAGAAUUUCCAGCAGCUUCUUCCUGUGUCUUUACUAAGUUCUUAAAUCAGUCCUGCCAACAAUUUUAUCUUUUCAAACUGUUGAAAAGAAGCCACCCUUCUCUGCCUGGCCCUCCCAGAUGGUCCUCCCUGAGGCCUAUUUGUGGGGACCACCCUUAACCCCACAAACCCUGGGGUCACAAACACAGGCCGUCAGGGGGCAGCAGAGGCUCACACUUGCUGAGAGUGUAACACAAAUGUGUAAGCACCACCAGGCCCAGACAGAGGCCCUCGUUCACUCAAAUCUGCUUUCCUGCAUGCAGCCUGUCUCCUAGUGUGUGCCCAGCAGAUGUUUGUUGAGUGAAUAUAUGAUUAAGGGCCAGGCCAAGUGCUCAGCACAUUCCAUGCAACCUCUCAUUGCACCUUCCAACAGACCUGUGAGGGAGACACUGCCAGCCCCCACUAAACCCUCCACGAAGCUCAGAGAGGUGAUAUAACCUCCUCAGGUCACACAGCUGGUAAGUGGCAAAGGCUUCAUUUAAAUGUACACCUGCUGACUCCAGGCUCUUGAGCAUCAUUCUCUGUGGCCUCAAACUCCCCGUGUGCUGAUCACAAGAGCAUGGAGCUCUAGCAGCUACAUACAUGGCAGGUCACGCACACAGAUGUGGGCACAGGUCCCACGGGCACACAGCUGGGCCACAUGGCAAUCAUUUAUUUACGAACAUUCAGUGCUUACUCUGUGCACAGUGUGCUUUUCCAAGUGCUUUGCAGUCAAUCCUCACAGCAACCCUAGGAGGUGGGGACUAUUAUUAUAAUCAACUCACAGAUGAGGAAAUCAGGCAAGAGAGGUUACGUGACUUACCCAAGGUCACACAGCUAGUGAAUGAAAAAGCCAGAAUUUGAACCUGCACAGAACCCAUGCUCCCUCUAGACGUUGGGACCCAGGAGCCAGGGGCUCUGGGCACCCCUCCCCCCCCAGCCUUGGGAGGAGGGCUGGACAAUAUUUCUCAAAGCCCAGUUCACAGAGGAGGAAACAGGCCCAGAGAAGGAAGGCGGCUUGCUUUUGGGCACACAGCUGUGCAAGCCCAGUCUGUCGAACCCAGAGCCUCUGUGUGAGCCCCAGACCCCUGGGGAUGCCCCCAGCCUGCCCAUCUCCCAUCUCCCAUCUCCCACCGCCUUACAAUCCCCUCCUCCAUGCAGGAGGAUGCUGGCCCAGGAAACUGAGGAGUGAUUGCCUGGUGACAGUGUGGUCAGAAGGAAACAGACACGAAACACAGCAUCACCUUUUAGAACAGAAAGCUCGAGAGACCCUGAGCAGGUUGGAGGAGGGGAGAUGAGAGGGUGAGAGGAGCCCACUCCCCCAUCAAUAGUCAAUUUAGAGCCGGAUGGUGCGGAAACGGAUUUUCUCUUGAGCUUUCAUAUAAAUGCACUUCAAAGCCACUGAUGGCGGAGUCGGAGGUGAGCAGGAGAGAGGGAGAGAGGACUGAGCGGUAAUGCAGAGCAGGGCGCAGAGAAGGGAGAGGUGCGCACACACGCAGACUCGCAACCCGCAGUCGGAAAAGGCAACUGGAAAUUCCAUUUGGGUUUUCACUUUGAAGGUGGAGAGAGGCCAGGAGCUUAGGGGACAGGGGCUGACUGAGGAAGAGAUGGAAAGAGAGAGGACAGAAACACAGGAAGACAAGAGUCAGAGGUGGGGAUAAGGAGAUAAAGAGACCCAGAAAGAAAGGUGGAGAAAAGCAAAAAUGACAAGAUCCCAGGUGUUCCCCAAACGCACGAGUCAAAAAGGCCACACACACACCCCGCCAUGCACACUCACACCCACACUUGCACAUACUCGUGCACAUUCUUGCUCAGGACUCCAAGACCUGGGUUCUAGUCCUGACUCUGCUCUUGAAAUGCUGUGGGACCUUGCAGAAGACCCUGCCUCCCUCUGAGCCCUGGGUGCCCCUGAGGCCUAGUGAGGUUGAGCUGGGGCCAGGAAGGCCAGGAAGGAGACAGGGAUGAGGCAUGCGGGCGACCAGGACUAGGACGGCAGAACCCUCACUGUGGUGUGGCUCCUGUAUGGCCCAGGGCCCCAGCUAGCAGGCACCGAGGGCCCCCAGGAAGGGCUGCGGGCAGGCAGGGCCCCAGGCUGCACAUCCACACGAGGAAACAGCUCAGAGCAGGAAGGCAGCUCUUCCCACGUCUUACAACCAGGACAGGAACCCACCUGUGAGGCUUCCUGACCGCCCUUCCCUAGGGAGAGGGGCAGAGCAGGAGGGCGCUGCCUCCCGGGCCUGAGCCAUCGGGGCUCCAGGACAGGCCUGGCACCUCGUUCACCCAGAGUGGCAGUGGCUGUGUCUGUACCACGGGCCCUGAACAGUCGUGGACGCUGACCCACCCAGCCCUUGUGCUGGGUGCUUCUCUGGAUCAAGCUCCUGCCGCCUCACAGCCACCUUAUCAGGACGUUACUACAAAGCCCCAUUUAACAGAUGAGGAAACUGAGGCACUCUCUGUUAAGGCAUUGGCUAAGGUCAUACAGCCACCUGCAGCCUCCCCAGCAGUGAGUGUCCAGCUGUCAUUUGCACACCCUUCCGGAAGGAGACCUCAUCUCCCCGGGGGCAGCCCUGCCUGGUGCCUCUGCCUCAGUUUCCCCACCCACUCCUCCAGGCCAGGCCCACGAGGGGUGUCUAGCCCGGUCUUCGAAAGUCGCAGGGCAGGGACAGCAGGAAGCUGUGGCCGGCCCGCAGUGCUGGCUGGAAACGGCCAGCUGAGGUCGAGGGGCGCCCCGACCCCACACUCCUGCCGAGACAAGCCACCCUGGACGGCGGGGCGAGAACCCUGUCCUGCGGCGCCACCUCGUGGCCAAAGAGGCCGCCCGGCCCUUGCAGAGUCCGGGUGAGCGCAGGGCUGAGCUGGGGGCACGGCAGGAAGCCACCGGCCCCAGGAGCCCCUGUUCGCUGGGACACCGGAAAACGAUGAGUUCUCCACUCCCGGGCCCCAGUGCUGACCACCCCAGCUCGGGAGGAAUGAGGGGGGCGGUAGAGCUUGGUCCUGUGCCCUCCUGAGGGGCAGACUCACACAUCUGGCGACCUCCUGGACAUCUCUGCCCCACUCUUCACAGGCGUCCCAAACUCAACCGUUCAUCCAUCUAAUUCGUGCAUUUAUGGAGCCCUUACUAUAUGCCGAGCCCUCACUGUUCCAGGUGCUACAGAUGUAACAAUGAACAAAACAAAGAUCUCCGCCCUUGUGGAGCUUACAGUGGGACGUGCGG